rnacentral:tRNA from 1 species
GCACCCUUAGCUCAGCUGGAUAGAGUGUCAGACUUCGAAUCUGAAUGUCGGGGGUUCGAAUCCCUCAGGGUGCGCCA